rnacentral:rRNA from 1 species
UUUGGUGGCGAUAGCGAAGAGGUCACACCCGUUCCCAUGCCGAACACGGAAGUUAAGCUCUUCAGCGCCGAUGGUAGUUGGGG